rnacentral:rRNA from 1 species
CUGAUGGAGCAAUGCCGCGUGCAGUGAGAAGGCCUUCGGAUUGUAAACUGCUUUUAUUUGGGACGAUAGGACUGUCCCUUAACAAUAUUGAUCUGACAACUCCGUGCCAACAGCCCCGGUAAUA